AUUGAACGCUGGCGGCAGGCCUAACACAUGCAAGUCGAACGGCAGCACAGAAGAGCUUGCUCUUUGGGUGGCGAGUGGCGGACGGGCGAGUAAUGUCUGAGAAACUGCCCGAUGGAGGGGGAUAACUACUGGAAACGGUAGCUAAUACCGCAUAACGUCGCAAGACCAAAGUGGGGGACCUUCGGGCCUCACACCAUCGGAUGUGCCCAGAAGGGAUUAGCUAGCAGGUGGGGUAAUGGCUCACCUAGGCGACGAUCCCUAGCUGGUCUGAGAGGAUGACCAGCCACACUGGAACUGAGACACGGUCCAGACUCCUACGGGAGGCAGCAGUGGGGAAUAUUGCACAAUGGGCGCAAGCCUGAUGCAGCCAUGCCGCGUGUAUGAAGAAGGCCUUCGGGUUGUAAAGUACUUUCAGCGGGGAGGAAGGCGGUGAGGUUAAUAACCUUGCCGAUUGACGUUACCCGCAGAAGAAGCACCGGCUAACUCCGUGCCAGCCGCCGCCGUAA
rnacentral:rRNA from 1 species